GUAAUAGCUCACUGGUCUAGUGAUUCCGCGCCGACAAUGUAGCGGGGCUCAAGCGUACCGCCGAAGUCGUGUCAUUGCGAUAUAUACCCCCAACGGGGAUCGUGAUGGGUAGGGGAGCGUCGUGUGCCGGGUGAAGCAGCACCGGAAGGUAGUUGUGGACGGUUCACGAGUGAGAAUGCAGGCAUGAGUAGCGAUUCACACGUGAGAAACGUGUGCGCCGAUUGACGUAAGGGUUCCUGGGUCAAGCUGAUCUGCCAGGGUAAGUCGGGACCUAAGGCGAGGCCGACGAGGCGUAGUCGAU
rnacentral:ncRNA from 1 species